rnacentral:rRNA from 1 species
CCCUUAGAUGUUCGGGGCCGCACGCGCGCUACACUGAAGGAAUCAGCACGUCUUUCUCCUUGUCCGAAAGGACUGGGUAACCCGCUGAACCUCCUUCGUGCUAGGGAUUGGGGCUUGUAAUUCUUCCCCAUGAACGAGGAAUUCCCAGUAAGCGUGAGUCAUAAGCUCGCGUUGAUUACGUCCCUGCCCUUUGUACACACCGCCCGUCGCUACUACCGAUUGGAUGGUUUAGUGAGAUCCUCGGAUUGGUCCCGGAGCGGCCUCUGGUCGUGCCGGAGUGCCGAAAAGAAUGUCGAACUUGAUCAUCUAGAGGAAGUAAAAGUCGUAACA